UGGGGAAUAUUGGACAAUGGUCGAAAGCCUGAUCCAGCCAUGCCGCGUGUGUGAAGAAGGUCUUCGGAUUGUAAAGCACUUUAAGGUGGGAGGAAGGGCAGUAAGCGAAUACCUUGCUGUUUUGACGUUACCGACAGAAUAAGCACCGGCUAACUCUGUGCCAGCAGCCGCGGUAAUACAGAGGGUGCAAGCGUUAAUCGGAAUUACUGGGCGUAAAGCGCGCGUAGGUGGUUCGUUAAGUUGAAUGUGAAAGCCCCGGGCUCAACCUGAGACUUGCAUCCAAAACGUGCGAGCUAGAGUAGGGCAGAGGGUGGUGGAAUUUCCUGUGUAGCGGUGAAAUGCGUAGAUAUAGGAAGGAACACCAGUGGCGAAGGCGACCACCUGGGCUCAUACUGACACUGAGGUGCGAAAGCGUGGGGAGCAAACAGG
rnacentral:rRNA from 1 species